UACGUAGGGCGCAAGCGUUAUCCGGAAUUAUUGGGCGUAAAGAGCGCGUAGGCGGUUUGUCGCGUCUGCCGUGAAAGUCCGGGGCUCAACUCCGGAUCUGCGGUGGGUACCGGCAGACUAGAGUGAUGUAGGGGAGACUGGAAUUCCUGGUGUAGCGGUGAAAUGCGCAGAUAUCAGGAGGAACACCGAUGGCGAAGGCAGGUCUCUGGGCAUUAACUGACGCUGAGGAGCGAAAGCAUGGGGAGCGAACAGG
rnacentral:rRNA from 1 species